rnacentral:lncRNA from 1 species
AUUUCAUAUGGGAAUUUCUUCUCUUUGUUUUUUCUUUUAAGAAACAGUAUGAAAGAGUAAUCUUCUUGCACCUGCUAUUUUUCAGGUCCCUUUAACUUAGUAUGCCAGAGGUCUUUUUGUUUUGUUUUUUAAAACUCCUUUAAACUCUAGGUGAGAAUUUGUUAUGAAGUUCAUGCAGUUCUUAUGGUUCUAAUUCUGGUGCUCUGCUGGCCCAGGCUUUUGGUAGCUGCCAACCUGUGGCUUCUCUCAGCUUCUUAAGGCCACUCAUAUGCCUUAUCAUAUGGCACUCACCAUCACAAUUCAGCAAGGGCAUCACAUGCCCCUUUAAAGAGCUUGUCUGAUUUCUUCAUAUACUACCUAAAGAGAAAACUGCUUUAAAAAAAAAAAAUAAUAAACCCCUGAUUGAGUUAUCCAUAUAUUAAACUUACUAAGGAGUUUAAUUACCCCUUCAAAGCACUACCUAGAUUAUUUUUGAAUAAUUGGAAUACGAAUCUUGAGAAACCCAUCUUUAGAAUUCUGCCACAUGGACAUUUAGGUCAUUUUCAGUUUUUCAAAGUUAAUAGAAAAGGCAAUAUUCUUAUGCAUAUACAUAAAUAUCUCUAAUGUACAUAUUUAGAAUUAUAAUUGUGAGGUCAUAAAGUAUAUACAUUUCAAUUAAUUAUAUUUCCAUAUUUCUUCAAGUAAUUAUCAGUUUGUUGCAUCUAUACCAGCAGACUGAAAACCAUGCCUCAAAACAGUCUGGAAGGGAGAAAGAAGGUCUUUUUUUUCACUCCUAUUCCCAAUGAUCACAUUCAUAGACACUUAGCUGUCCUGUAUAUCUACGUUGCAUCAUCUGACCGCUAUGCAGCCAUUCAGGAGCCAAGAAUUCCAUACCCAUUGUUUCAUCCAAGACAGGAAAAGUCAAACUUAAGAGUUAAUGGGCUGGCUCCAAAGCUGUACUGAGUUAGUUGAUUGACAACUGCAACAAAAUUGUAAGUAUUCCCUUGGAAGAGUGGUACAUGGCACUUACAGAAAAGCACACAGCUAAGAGAAGAGACUAGGAAAUAAUAGGCCAAAGGAGUCUGAGGACAUUUUGCUUUUAUUUAUUUGCUACAUCUUAGGGAUCACACUGUAUAAACAUAACUCCAUUACAUAGUUAUGUUAUAACUUAUAUAAAUUUUUUUGAUACAGGGGCACUUGACCUCUGAGCUACAUUUCCAGUCCUAGUUUGUAUUUUAUUUAGAGACAGGGUCUCACUGAAUUGCCUAGCGCCUUGCUUUGAUUAUCCUGCCUCCUACUCCAGAGCUGCUGGGAUUAUAGGCGUGCACCACCGCGCCCGGCUAACUUACAUAAACAUUUUUGUAUUGAUAGACCUUUGUACUAUUUAGAAUCAUUUGUUCUUGCAAGCAGAGAAGCAGUUAAUAGCCAUUUAAUAUAUCAGAACCAGGAGUGGCGCACACCUGUAAUCCCAAUGACCAAAGAGGCUGAGGCAGGGUGGAUUAUAAAUUUGAGGCCAGCCUUGGCAAUUU